rnacentral:tRNA from 1 species
GGUCCAGUAGCUCAGUGGAUAGAGCGGCCGCCUCCUAAGCGGCAGGUCGGUGGUUCAAUUCCACUCUGGAUCA